rnacentral:tRNA from 1 species
GAAGCGUUAGUCUAAAAAAGACUGUUAAUUUCGACUUAACUAAUUAUGGUUCAACCCCAUGACACUUCU